UCCUGACUGACCGAUAGUGAACCAGUACCGUGAGGGAAAGGCGAAAAGAACCCCGGCGAGGGGAGUGAAAAAGAACCUGAAACCGUGUACGUACAAGCAGUGGGAGCACGCUUAGGCGUGUGACUGCGUACCUUUUGUAUAAUGGGUCAGCGACUUAUAUUCUGUAGCAAGGUUAACCGAAUAGGGGAGCCGAAGGGAAACCGAGUCUUAACUGGGCGUUAAGUUGCAGGGUAUAGACCCGAAACCCGGUGAUCUAGCCAUGGGCAGGUUGAAGGUUGGGUAACACUAACUGGAGGACCGAACCGACUAAUGUUGAAAAAUUAGCGGAUGACUUGUGGCUGGGGGUGAAAGGCCAAUCAAACCGGGAGAUAGCUGGUUCUCCCCGAAAGCUAUUUAGGUAGCGCCUCGUGAAUUCAUCUCCGGGGGUAGAGCACUGUUUCGGCAAGGGGGUCAUCCCGACUUACCAACCCGAUGCAAACUGCGAAUACCGGAGAAUGUUAUCACGGGAGACACACGGCGGGUGCUAACGUCCGUCGUGAAGAGGGAAACAACCCAGACCGCCAGCUAAGGUCCCAAAGUCAUGGUUAAGUGGGAAACGAUGUGGGAAGGCCCAGACAGCCAGGAUGUUGGCUUAGAAGCAGCCAUCAUUUAAAGAAAGCGUAAUAGCUCACUGGUCGAGUCGGCCUGCGCGGAAGAUGUAACGGGGCUAAACCAUGCACCGAAGCUGCGGCAGCGAUGCUUAUGCGUUGUUGGGUAGGGGAGCGUUCUGUAAGCCUGCGAAGGUGUGCUGUGAGGCAUGCUGGAGGUAUCAGAAGUGCGAAUGCUGACAUAAGUAACGAUAAAGCGGGUGAAAAGCCCGCUCGCCGGAAGACCAAGGGUUCCUGUCCAACGUUAAUCGGGGCAGG
rnacentral:rRNA from 1 species